GUGUGUGGAAUAAUGGUCCUGCAAUUAAAAAAGAAGGAAUGAUCAUUUGUCUCUUUUAAGAGGCUGUUUUAUGACAUUGAUGGCUUAAACUAGGUGACUAUGAAAGAAGUAUUAAAGGAAACUUGGAUAGAAAAAAUUGGCUGUAUUAUACUUGCUCUGAAAUAUCAUCACCAUCAGAAUGUGGGCAUGGUCUGGAAACCUACAAGUGUUUGGCUGCAAUUAUGGAUCAUGAAAAUAGAAAGAAACAACUUAUGUGAACAAAUGCAGCCUGGAGCAGAAUCUAAUCAAGGGACAACCAGACAUCGAUGAUAGGCAAGUGGAGAUUCUCUUACUGCAAGGUAAUCUUGGAUUGUUCCAAGCCCAACUUGACAGCAUCAAUUUAUUUCUGUGGGCUAAAGGUGCCAAUUAUGCAAAGGCAUGAUUCCAGAAUUCAAACAUCGUGGAAUGUAGGCAAUAAAUCAGAUUGCCGAGGUCCAGCCCUUACAUUUGAUCCAAGAAGAGAGGGUAAAAACAGCUAUUCAAUCAGGUAUCUUCUAAUAUUUCCUCAAGGUGAAUGUGGGGAAAAUAUCCCAUCCAUAUACAUAAUUGUCAGCAUUUUCUUUGAAUCUUCUAUGUGAAACAUGGUAUGUUUUUAAAGUGCUCAAUUCAGAUUUCCCAUGUUAUAUGUUGCACAGUGAUAAACAUAUGGGCAGACUUCAGAUUUACUUUAGUACCCCUAUGUAUAUGAAAAUAACAGCUAGAUAUUGCAGAUGACACUGCUCAUACAGAUAUCAGUAAUAACUUUACCGCCUUUCUUCUCUGUCUCUUUCUCCUGCCAAACAAAGCACCUAAUUUCAGAAUGCCUUCCUGGGAAUGAUUCCUCUUUGGACCAGAAGGAAGGAAGGAAGGAGGGAAGGAAGGAAGGAGGGAAGGAAGGAAGGAGGGAAGGGGGGAAAGAAGGAAGGAGGGAAGGAAGGAAGGAGGGAAGGGAUGGAGCAUCCAAAACCUCUCUGGGCAACCUGUUCCCGUGCUUCACCACCCUCUGAGUGAAAAACUUUCUCCUAAUUUCUAACCUAAAUCUCCCCUGUCUUAGUUUAAAAUCCCCCCCCCCCCCCUUAUCCUAUCACUAUCAACACAUGUCAACAGGUGUUCCCCCUCCUGUCUAUACACUCCCUAGUACUGGAGUACUAGGAAAGUACUGGAAGACUGCAAUGAGGUCUCCCCAGAGCCUUCUCUUCUUCAUGCAAAAUGAACCCAGUUCCCUCAACCUUUCUGCAUAGGAGAGGUGCUCCAGCCCUCUGAACAUCUUAGUGGCCCUUCUCUGGACAGACUGCUUGUGAUGGAGGCCCAAGGCCUGCAUGCAAUAUUCUAGGUAGGGUCUCACAAGAGCAGAGACCCUACCUACUAGCCACCACUUUUUUAUUUGCUCUUUCAUGGGGAAUUCUGUAGGUUUUCCCAUGCAGGAACUAAUAUAUAUCAUUAUUAUUGAUAUCAUGCAUUUGUUAUACCAUAUGUGGAAUGGCUAAACUCUCCCCUAAAGGAGAACUGCUAAUAAUACUUAUUUUUAUAGAAACUGUUAAAGACUGUCUCUCCAUAUCCAAAUCCAAACUAUAUAACAUGAUCUUUGCUUUAAGACAUAAGAAUCUUAAAUCUCUCUCUCUCUUUUUUUUUUUUUUUGUUGUUGUUUGUUUGAUUUUUGUUUUUGUUUUCAUUCUGUCUUUCAAGAAUAAGAAAGAGUCUGAUUUAAAAUAAGUAUAAUUAUAUACAGUUAUGCAGGCAAUAAUAGCAAAACUCUAAUGACAGUUACAGCAGCAGUAAUGUUUUGUUGUUCACUUGCCUUCAGAAUUAGAUGCCAAAAUAGUAGAUAUUUUUUCCAGUUGUAAAGCUGGAAUAUAAAAUAUAUUUUCAGUGACUCAAAAUGUUUUCUAAAAAGAAACAGUGAAUGAAGUUGCAUGAAUAAUUAAUAACAAAAAAAUAAACAUUUUUUUUUCCCCA
rnacentral:lncRNA from 1 species